AGACCCGUUAUUCGUUAUUACUCGUGCAAGGCAGAGUAGUGGGCUUUAUAUAAAUAGAAGUCUGUGUUUUCCCAAUAUGCGUGUACUAUGGCAGAAAACAUGAUUAAAUGUCAUCUAGAUGCAAACCGAUGAUAAUACUUCUACCAAACAGCCGCUACAUUCCUGGUGCUUAUUGCCAUCAUCGAUACAGCCACAGUCAGCCCAAGAUAUUCUAGAGUGGCUAGACAUUUGUGGAAAUACAGUAGACAGAACGGUAUCAAUAACUACUGACUGAAGGGAUUGUUGCAAUAUUAUAAUACAUCAUGGCUAGUAAAGGGUAUAUUGCUGUGACGUCUGUGCAUCUUCUCGCACUAAUCUUCCAGGUCGUUGGGUUUGUCACACCAUAUUGGCAGUACGAAGAAAAUGGUAAAUACUUUGGUCUCUUUAGGAAGUGUACUUUGACUGGCGACUCUUAUAUUUGUACAAACGUCGAUCUUGCUGCAAGUGAAGGUUGGGUUAAGGUUGCAGUAAGUUUAGAAGGGCUAACUAUUUUAUUUCAAGUUUUAGCACUAUUAACUUUGAUUGCCUUCCAAUAUCGAAAUGAAUCGAGGUUUCACGCUACAGUAGCUGUUGUCUUCUUAACGAUGGCCGGUGUAAUAGGUCUGAGCGGUGUGACUAUAUAUGGGUAUCAAGCGGACACAACACGAGCAAAAAUAUAUUGGUCAUUUGCAUUUGAAGUGUUAGCAAGUGUUUUAAAUCUUAUAGUUGCCGUGUUUUUCAGUCUGAUAGUGUUCAGGCAAACCGGAUAUGUGCCAAUAAACGAAUAAGGAUAAUAAAAUGUAAGCAAUGAUAAUAUAAUGUAAAUAAGGAUAAUGCAAUAAUUGAACUUUAACAGUGUAUAUAAUUAUGUGAAUAAAAAUAAUGCACAUAAGUAUAGUGUACAUAUGAAGAAAUUCCCAUUUACGGUAACAAGUGUAUUGUAAAAAUAGUACUGGAGAAUAAGUGUAAAUACGCAGUCAUAGAGAUGAAUAAAUGGGGUUUAACGUCCUACUUUUCUACAUCGA